UAAGGACAACACCUUCAAGGAUAUUGUAGAGGACAUGGGGAUGGAGUAAACGAGGAGGCAGGAUAAAUGCAUGGUACACUAUCCAGGGGCACUAGAGCAUGUUAAUAACUCUUGUCCUUUGAUUGUUAUGUGGUUAUGUGUCGAGGGCUAUUCGUUUUCUCAUGUUGCUUCGAGUUUGUGAAACUUUCCAUGCGAAUGAUAUAUGUUGAUUUUAAUGUUCAUAUGCCACAAAACCUUCUUGGUGUUUGAUGGAAAUGUGGUAUGCAUAUGCUAGAGUCAAAGGAAGUGAGUCAUGGGGUAUUUUAGUUAGUAUCAGAGUAGGUGUUCCUCAAGGACAGUGUGCAUGCAAUCUCGUUGAGGAUUCAUAUACUUCCGCCUUCAAGUUUGUAAGGACGACACCUUCAAGGAUACGGUAGAGGACAUGUAGGCGAAGUAAACGAGGAGGUGAGAUGGAUGCAUGACACACUGUCCAGGGACACUAGAGCAUGUUAAUAACUCUUGUCCUUUGAUUGUUAUGAGGUUAUGUGUCGAGGGCUAUUUGUUUUCUCAUCUUGUUUCGGGUUUGUAAACCUUUCCUUGCGUUGAGUUUAAUUUUGCAAUGAAACUUUCUUGGUGUUUGAUGGAAA